GAUGAACGCUGGCGGCGUGCCUAAUACAUGCAAGUCGAGCGAACGGACGAGAAGCUUGCUUCUCUGAUGUUAGCGGCGGACGGGUGAGUAACACGUGGAUAACCUACCUAUAAGACUGGGAUAACUUCGGGAAACCGGAGCUAAUACCGGAUAAUAUUUUGAACCGCAUGGUUCAAAAGUGAAAGACGGUCUUGCUGUCACUUAUAGAUGGAUCCGCGCUGCAUUAGCUAGUUGGUAAGGUAACGGCUUACCAAGGCAACGAUGCAUAGCCGACCUGAGAGGGUGAUCGGCCACACUGGAACUGAGACACGGUCCAGACUCCUACGGGAGGCAGCAGUAGGGAAUCUGCCGCAAUGGGCGAAAGCCUGACGGAGCAACGCCGCGUGAGUGAUGAAGGUCUUCGGAUCGUAAAACUCUGUUAUUAGGGAAGAACAUAUGUGUAAGUAACUGUGCACAUCUUGACGGUACCGAAUCAGAAAGCCACGGCUAACUACGU
rnacentral:rRNA from 1 species